AAGUCGUAACAAGGUUUCCGUAGGUGAACCUGCGGAAGGAUCAUUACACUCAGUAGUUUACUACUGUUAAGGGGGCUGUUAGUCUGUAUAGCUUCACGGCUGAUGAGCAGCAGGCCUUCUUUCCACACCCUUGUCUUUUGCGUACCCAUGUUUCCUCGGUAGGCUUGCCUGCCGAUUGGACAAUCUAUAACCUUUUUAAUUUUUAAUCAGCGUCUGAAAAACUUAAUAAUUACAACUUUCAACAACGGAUCUCUUGGUUCUG
rnacentral:misc_RNA from 1 species